rnacentral:rRNA from 1 species
GACGAACGCUGGCGGCGUGCCUAAUACAUGCAAGUGGGACGCAAGGGAACACACUGUGCUUGCACACCGUGUUUUCUUGAGUCGCGAACGGGUGAGUAACGCGUAGGUAACCUGCCUAUUAGCGGGGGAUAACUAUUGGAAACGAUAGCUAAUACCGCAUAAUAUUAAUUAUUGCAUGAUAAUUGAUUGAAAGAUGCAAGCGCAUCACUAGUAGAUGGACCUGCGUUGUAUUAGCUAGUUGGUAAGGUAAGAGCUUACCAAGGCGACGAUACAUAGCCGACCUGAGAGGGUGAUCGGCCACACUGGGACUGAGACACGGCCCAGACUCCUACGGGAGGCAGCAGUAGGGAAUCUUCGGCAAUGGACGAAAGUCUGACCGAGCAACGCCGCGUGAGUGAAGAAGGUUUUCGGAUCGUAAAGCUCUGUUGUAAGUCAAGAACGUGUGUGAGAGUGGAAAGUUCACACAGGACG